rnacentral:rRNA from 1 species
UCUGGUGGUGAUGCGUCUAUGGGACAUACCCGUUCUCAUACCGAACACGAUGGUCAAGCCACAGACGGCCGAUGGUACUUGGUUGGAGACGACCUGGGAGAGUAGGUGGCUGCCAGAU